AUGCAGUCGAACGGUGAACACGGAGCUUGCUCUGUGGGAUCAGUGGCGAACGGGUGAGUAACACGUGAGCAACCUGCCCCUGACUCUGGGAUAAGCGCUGGAAACGGCGUCUAAUACUGGAUAUGUGACGUGACCGCAUGGUCUGCGUUUGGAAAGAUUUUUCGGUUGGGGAUGGGCUCGCGGCCUAUCAGCUUGUUGGUGAGGUAAUGGCUCACCAAGGCGUCGACGGGUAGCCGGCCUGAGAGGGUGACCGGCCACACUGGGACUGAGACACGGCCCAGACUCCUACGGGAGGCAGCAGUGGGGAAUAUUGCACAAUGGGCGGAAGCCUGAUGCAGCAACGCCGCGUGAGGGAUGACGGCCUUCGGGUUGUAAACCUCUUUUAGCAGGGAAGAAGCGAAAGUGACGGUACCUGCAGAAAAAGCGCCGGCUAACUACGUGCCAGCAGCCGCGGUAAUACGUAGGGCGCAAGCGUUAUCCGGAAUUAUUGGGCGUAAAGAGCUCGUAGGCGGUUUGUCGCGUCUGCUGUGAAAUCCCGAGGCUCAACCUCGGGCCUGCAGUGGGUACGGGCAGACUAGAGUGCGGUAGGGGAGAUUGGAAUUCCUGGUGUAGCGGUGGAAUGCGCAGAUAUCAGGAGGAACACCGAUGGCGAAGGCAGAUCUCUGGGCCGUAACUGACGCUGAGGAGCGAAAGGGUGGGGAGCAAACAGGCUUAGAUACCCUGGUAGUCCACCCCGUAAACGUUGGGAAC
rnacentral:rRNA from 1 species